AAGUUUGAUCCUGGCUCAGACUGAACGCUGGCGGCAGGCUUAACACAUGCAAGUCGAGCGGGGGAAGGUAGCUUGCUACUGGACCUAGCGGCGGACGGGUGAGUAAUGCUUAGGAAUCUGCCUAUUAGUGGGGGACAACAUCUCGAAAGGGAUGCUAAUACCGCAUACGUCCUACGGGAGAAAGCAGGGGAUCUUCGGACCUUGCGCUAACAGAUGAGCCUAAGUCGGAUUAGCUAGUUGGUGGGGUAAAGGCCUACCAAGGCGACGAUCUGUAGCGGGUCUGAGAGGAUGAUCCGCCACACUGGGACUGAGACACGGCCCAGACUCCUACGGGAGGCAGCAGUGGGGAAUAUUGGACAAUGGGGGGAACCCUGAUCCAGCCAUGCCGCGUGUGUGAAGAAGGCCUUAUGGUUGUAAAGCACUUUAAGCGAGGAGGAGGCUACUUUAGUUAAUACCUAGAGAUAGUGGACGUU
rnacentral:rRNA from 1 species